GCUCUUCCUCCCCCUGUGACCUUCACUUCCUGAGCUCAGUUUCCUCUGCAAACUGGGGGAUCCAACCUAAAAAGGGAGGUUGGAUUAGCUGAUCCCUGAAGGUUCCUCCGAGCUCUGAGACCCACGAUCCCUGUGUUUAAGGCAGGACGGAGUCAGAGAUACUUUGCCUGAGCUGGAGGACUCGAACCUCAAGCUGAGGAUUUAGAGGUGGAGAGACCCCCGCACUCUGAGCAAGCUGGGACGGACUCGCUGAGAGUCGUCAGGGGACCACGGGGAGGCGCCACGGCUCCGCGGACUGCGGACCCCCGGGCACCUGGCGCAGCCGGGCAGCCCGGGACUGCCCCUCUCCCAGCCGGGGGCCGGAGUGGGGGCGCGGUCCCAGUGCGCCCGCCCCUUAGGGGAUCACCUGCGCCCAGACCCGGCUAACGGACAAGACCAUCGGGCUGGGGGCUGGGAGCUGGUGCGCCGCGCUGAGCGCGAAGCUCGAGACCUAGCAGUGCCAAGCCCGGAGCGCUCGAGCCCAGGACCCCGAGCCCAGAGGCUCGGAGGCGGAGCCGGGAGCGCCUGCGGCGGCCGCGGAGCGGCGAUGACUGCCGGGCCCCAGAGCUUGUGAGCGGGGCCGCGGCCGGACAAGACAAGACCAAGAUGACCACGGUGGCCCCUCUGGGAGGUGCCAGCUUUCCAGGGAAUGAGACCGCGAUGUCCACAGAAGACUUCCUUUAUAAGAGUAAGGGCGACUGAGUGAGGUUCGGGAGCCAUCGUAGCAGCCAUUGUGGUUGGAGUCAUUAUCAUCUUCACCGUGGUGCUCAUCUUGCUAAAAAUGUACAACAGAAAAAUGAGAAUGAGACGGGAAUUGGAACCUAAGAGCCCCAAGCCCACCGCCCCAGCAUCUCCCACGGGCCAGCCCAGCAACAACAGCGUCAGUCAGCCCACCACCGUCACAUUUAUUCCAGUCGACAUCCACAUGGAGAAUCGGUGACCAGAGAAAGUCCCUCCGGGGUCCUCAGCCAGAUCUCCAGCUCCAUCCAGAUGGGCCCUCGCUGAUAAGGGGGAAAUGGAGAGCCAGAUUUCUGGCAGAGCUUGUGUCAAGCCUUUCUAUAUUUGAUUGGAGCUGGGGACAAGCCCUGACAACCUCUUUUUUCCCCUAGUUACAAACCUAACUCUUGUGACACUCCCUCCCCUAACACUGAAGCAGUGGCAAGCUAUGUCGGAUAUGUAUUAACAUUUAUGUUCUACUUUUCUCCCUGAUCUCGUAGCUAAUUCAAAGGGAUAAUGAAUCCCAAAAGGCUGGAGGCAGAUGGGACUUUAUAAUGUACAGUGAUAGCAUGUAGAAUAUCUGUUCCACUUCUUGGAUGAUAAACCACCAGAACCAAAAAAAGCAUUUGACCAUAGAAUAUUCAAUUUGGAAAAGCAGAGCUGGGCAGGGAGGGGACCUUGUGAACAAUCUCAGAGUUGGAAGAGAACUAAAAAGGAGAAAUUUAGAACAAUGAUAGAACUGACUGUAUCCUUGGGAACUAUCUAGCCCAAUCUUCUUCUUUACACAGGAGGGCUGUGGGAUCAUAGACCCCCUAGGGCUGAGAAGAACCUCAAUAGAUUGUCUAAUCCAUCCGUCUCUUGUUACAGAUGAGAAAACUGAAGCAGAGGGAAGAUAAAUGCCUUGUCUCACAGGAAAAUGAGGUCUAGAGAAGGUCACAUGAUGAGUUUGAGUUUCUGACUGAGCUGGGACAAGAACAAUUAAAUUAUUUCAAAUACUGAAUGCAAGAUAAUGAGAGCCCUCAAAAGGGCAUCUGUCCAAAUGGUUCACCAGGCAUUUUUCCCCAGGAGCUCUGUGCUCAGGGAAUGGGCUGUGGGCCUGGGCUAAUUAAAUAUAACUAACUCCAUAGGUAAAUUAUGUCAGUGGCCAGAAGGCAGCAAAUCCAAACACCUCUAAUUUUGAAUCUAGAGAAAACAUCAAGAGAAACAAAUUGAUAAAAGAGCUUUCUCUUGAGUAGUAUGUGUCUUUGUUAGACAGAGCUAAAGAACUGAGACAGACAUUCAUUUUCUCCAUUCUUUUGUUCCAGCUGCCAUGUAGAUACUUCUCUACCCAUUCCCGCAUUUCCCCCUACCCCUCUGACCUAUAAUAAUAGCUCAUUUUUGUGUAGCAUUUUAUGGUUUACAGAGAGUAUUCCUCAUACUGCUGUCAAAACAAGUGGUAUAAGUUUUACUAUUUCCAUUUUACAGGUACAGAAACUGAGGCUCAAAGAGCUAUAUAGUAAAUCUAGUAAAUGAUUGAUCUGGGAUUUCACCAUUAGUCACCUGAUUCUGGAGUCAAGGCUUUCCUACUCUCCCCUAUAACCUUCCCAAGGCUCUUGUUGAUCUUUCACUGAUUAUACAACUUGGAGGGGAGGGCUGCUCCCUGAUGCAACCUAGAAUAAGUUAUUAUGAGGGGGAAAGUACUGUAGUUUGAUGGUUCAAUAAACCAACAGCAGCCUCGAGAUAUUUCCUCCUUUCCACAAAUUUUAUACAAGAACAAAAACCCAAGAUGCAGAAUGGCUGCUUCUAGUUCAGAAGUGCCAGCCUCUCAAGAAAGUGGGGGGCAGUGUUUCCUUUGUCACCUCACAAGUGAGAGGAGUGAAGGUUUCCAUUUGGGUCUUGGGCAUCCUAUCCCACCCAUUCUCCAAAGUUGUUACUCUGGAAAACAGAACCUACCACGUACUGGCUCUUGAAUUCAAUCUCAGGUACUCUUUUCAGCCCAUUACAAAUGCAAAGAUUCAUUGUUCUCCAAUCCCAUUGGCUCUGAUCUUGGUGUUCUGGAGUGAGAUUAGACUUAAAAUCAGAAAGAUCUGAGUUCAUAUCCUUACUCCGAUACUUACUAAUUAUGUGACAAUGUACUUAAACACUCUGACCCUUGGUUUACUCAUCUGUAAAAUGGAGAGAUAUCACCUAUAACCUGCUUUAGAGAAUUGAUUGUUAAUAGGGUCAGAUGAAGUUUUUCAUGUAACAUGCAGAGCUCUAAAUUUUCUAUAAAUAUUUGUAUUUUCAGAAAUCAGUAUGUUCAGAAAAGGGCUUUGGUGUAGGAAUAAUUCUAAUGUGGAACCCUUCUUAGUCACACCCCCCUGCAUCUCAGCCUUGAUUGUUCUAGGAGGAUAAGUCACUUUACUUCCAAGUGCUGAGAAGAUGCUAUCUUACAAGGGUAAAGGGAAUUUUCUCUCUGGGAGUUCAUUUUUGUCACUGAAAUCCUAGGUCCUCUCUCUGUCCCAUUAUUGAUCAAAAGAGUGAGUAGAGGGGACAAGAGAAAUCAGGUGGUGAGGGUGAUGAUGGGGAAGGCUGGGGUAGUGUUUCCUAAUUUCAUUGUCUUUGAUCUUCACAAAGCUCCUGUGAGAUAGGUAGGGCAAGUAUUAGUGUUAUAUAGAGUAGGAAACUGAGCAUGGAAAGGCACUUGAUCAGAUCUACAUGAUCAAGUGGCAGAACUGGGAUGGGACCCCAAGUCCUCUGGCUCUUGAAUCCAAUUCUCAUUGAGCUGUACUGCCUCUUGUACAUCAGAAGGACCUGGAGGGAGAAACAGAAUUUUUACAAUUUGUUUUAGGUUUUAUGUUUAAUAAAUAAACAACCCAACCCAAUAACCAAUUUAUUUUUAGUUUAAAAUUGUAGGGCUUAGUCUGGGAAGGAGAGGAGCCCUUGACUUUUUAAAUGCCCUUUCUAAAUAUACCCCAAAUUGUCAUUUUUGUCCUGCUAUAAAAAACAGCUAUUUGUGGGAGUACAGUAAUCCUACAGCCAUGUCCCCAGGAUAUUUGAGGGGCCUUUGAACAGUGGGAUCAUUGUUGCCCUCUCUCUGGGCUCUUUUUGUGAAGGGCAUCCCCCUCAGUGAGGGAGGGAGUAGAAAGCCUUGACUCAGCAGUCCUGGGGCCAGCCCAAGGCAUCUGGCCUGGGAGGAAAAGUGACUUCAAACGAAAUGCCCCUGGACAGGCCUGGGAGUCAGGAGACUUGAACUCUGCUGGCCCCAGCCCCAGCCCAGCUUCAGUGCCGAUUAAACCUUGGCCAACCUCGGAAGGGAACUCUGGGGCCACUCCACCUGAGCCAAGAAUUCCUCUCUAACGUUCCUAAUACAAGCUUAUCACGAGUCUGCUUGAAGACCUCCAGGGGUAGGGUAGCUCCAGCAAAUGGACAUUUGGGGACAGAUGGAACUGUCUUAGAAAGCUUUUCUUAUGUUGGAUUUCAAUCUGCCUCUCUGUGGUUUCCACCCAUUUCUUCGGGCAAUGACUGAGGUCCAUCAGAGCAAGUCUAAGGAUGACAUAGAAAAGUAGCUGAUUUUAAGUCAGAAAGCUUUUGUCUGGCCCUUUGGACAAGCCAGUCCCCUCUCUGGGCCGCAAUUCUCUCAUCUGUAAAAUGAAGUUAGACUAGAUGAUCUCUAAGGUCCUUCUGAGAUCCCACAAGAAAGCCUUUUUUCCAAUAAUGGAAGCCAGCCUUCAGGGAGAGCCCCCUCCCCCUGUCUUUUGUUCUCUGGGCUAACGUGACCCCAUUCCUUCCAUCCUCACUUGGCCUGGCCUCCAAUUUUCUCUCCAUAAUAACAGAUUUUGUUUAUAGAACAUUUUAAGGUUUUCAAAGCACUUUACACACCUUACUCCCAUUUUUAAAAUAAAGAUAGUAGGACUCAGAGAGGCUCUGAUUGCCCGAGGUCCCAUAGCUGGAAGCUGAAACCUAGGAAUCGGCUACUCCAAGUAUGAGACUUUCCAGUAUAUUACUGUGACCUUGAUAGUUUUUUCUUCCAGAAUUUGUCUCUCUGAUCCCGUUUCCUCACAAAACGAGGUGGUUAAACUAGAUUGAACUAAGGUCCCUUCUCACUCUAUACCUGAAAUCCUGUUAUCAUUCAGAUUCAGUCAGAUCGUCUAAGCAAAUUUCACUUUGCCUAGAUUCUUAAUUGUUUUUUGUGUGAUACUAAUAUGUUUUAAUUUACCCUGGGGGACUUAAGAACAAAUGUCUUACUUUUUAAUCAUGUGUACUCUCUUUCACCCUCCCCACAUAUAAUCUGGUCAAGUGAGGGCAGCAGCCUUCAUAUAAUCAUUGCCCUGGGCCAGUGGGUAUUUGCAAGGCUAGUUUGAUCCUGGCUGGGAUCAGCUUAGAUCUCCAGCUGGAUAUUGUUGAGUGGAGAGCUCAAUGCUGGCCUUGAUGGUUCAUCAGGUCAACUAUGUCUCCUCCCCAUGACAGGGCAUUUCCAAUAGGGAGGGUGACAGAAUCUUGGUUGUAGGGAAACCAGCACUUCCAGGGCCAGUACCUCCCACUGACCACUGGACUUACCAUGUGAGUUCCUUCCCCUGUUCUUGCUUGCUUAUAGCCCUGCUAUAAGGGUCUUAAAGUCUGGGGAAUAUGAAAGUCUUUCUGUCUCUCUGUCUCUCUUUCUCUCUCUCUCUCUCUCUCUCUCUCUCUCUCUCUCUCUCUCUCUCUCUCUCUUUCUGUUUCUCU
ensembl:lncRNA